rnacentral:rRNA from 1 species
CAACCUGCCUAUCAGAGGGGAACAACAGUUAGAAAUGACUGCUAAUACCGCAUAUACCUAAGCAUCGCAUGAUGCAAUAGGGAAAGGAGCAAUCCGCUGAUAGAUGGGCUUGCGUCUGAUUAGCUAGUUGGUGGGGCAACGGCCUACCAAGGCAACGAUCAGUAGCCGGACUGAGAGGUUGAACGGCCACAUUGGGACUGAGAUACGGCCCAGACUCCUACGGAAGGCAGCAG